AGGACCUUCAAGGGCAGGAGUCAUGGAGAAUUAGACAAAGGGGGACUUGACAGAGGAGUAGGCCAGUGUGAGUGGACAUGCUAUGGACUGCUACCCAUACCCAGUUCACAAAGCUGUAGGAGGAGACACCAGACAAGCUCUUUGGCCAUCAGGGAUCCUGCAGUGAUGCAGCAGAGAGGAAGCUCUGUGAUGCAUCCCUGCCUCAUCUUCCUCUGCUCUUUGCUCCACCGGAUCCAGCCAGGAGAGGAGGGCAGAGGUGGUCAAUGAAGGUUCCAGAGAACAUAUUCUGUGCAGCAGAAAGCAGGGUGGUGCUUGUCUGCAGGCCAAAACGGAGUCUGAUGGAUGUGCUCAGGAAGCUGAGACCUAGGAGAAACUUGGUAUCCCUUAGUUGGCAGAUGGACCACCACCUCAGGCAGCAGGAUACUCUGCAGGAAGAUCACAAACUGCCAAGUUCACGGACCUUCUGACCUCCAUCACCAGGAAGCAAGACUGGCCACAUGAAUGAACACCCUUGUAACUUAAAGGGAAAAAUGUAAAGUAUGGUUUUUGUUUUUGUUUUUGUUUUUUGUCUUCUAAGAUAUACUACAUAUUGUUUUGCCUUGUUAGCAAAAUCAUAUGAAGUAUGAUUUAGAUUGGGAUUACUUUACUUUCAAGAAUAUUGCUGUGUCCCUCUUGUUCAUGUGGCUACAUUAAACACCCCCC
rnacentral:lncRNA from 1 species